rfam:Bacteroides sp. CAG:189 genomic scaffold, scf420
UGAAAUGUGGAAAGAUUUGAGUAGCUUGCAACCACAGAAAAAAAUGCUAAAACAACAUUC